rnacentral:rRNA from 1 species
AGCGAACGCUGGCGGCAGGCCUAACACAUGCAAGUCGAACGAACUCUUCGGAGUUAGUGGCGGACGGGUGAGUAACACGUGGGAACGUGCCUUUAGGUUCGGAAUAACUCAGGGAAACUUGUGCUAAUACCGAAUGUGCCCUUCGGGGGAAAGAUUUAUCGCCUUUAGAGCGGCCCGCGUCUGAUUAGCUAGUUGGUGAGGUAACGGCUCACCAAGGCGACGAUCAGUAGCUGGUCUGAGAGGAUGGCCAGCCACACUGGGACUGAGACACGGCCCAGACUCCUACGGGAGGCAGCAGUGGGGAAUCUUGCGCAAUGGGCGAAAGCCUGACGCAGCCAUGCCGCGUGAAUGACGAAGGUCUUAGGAUUGUAAAAUUCCUUCACCGGGGACGAUAAUGACGGUACCCGGAGAAGAGGCCCCGGCUAACUUCGUGCCAGCCGCCGCUGUAA